rnacentral:lncRNA from 1 species
AGCCCUGUGGCAGGAGGCAGAAGCUGGGAUGGGUGCCCACAAAGGAAGCCUUAUUUUCCAAGGCAGCCAGAGAAUCAUGGGUCUGAACUUAUCCCGUCUUCUCAGAUGGAGGACUAAGACCCAGAAAGAGGGAGGAAUUUGUCCAAGCUCUCCCAGUGAGCUGAUGCCAGAGCCAGGACUAGAACUCAGGUCUCCCAAUUCUCAGCACAGUGUGAUUUUCCUUGCAGAAUGUUGAUGCUCAAAGAACAGGAACCCCAGAACCCCAGGGAGGUAAGGAAGAAGAGCACAGCCAGGAUCAGAAGAGUGAAGAAACAAUGAUGUCCCACAGGUCACAGGGAGUAAGUAGCUGCUCUAGGGGUGAACCCAAGAGUGGUGAUUCACUGUCCAAACUACUGGCUGGAGGAGAGCUCGUGGUGGUCAUGUACGUGUGUGCAUGUGUGUGUGUCUAUAUUUGAGUGGGGCAAGGGAGGGGAUUGGGGACCGGGGGAGACCAGCCUUCUAAACACAUGAUACAAAUACUAUGGCUAUGACACAACAGGUGUUUGUCAACCUGUUCCAGCUCUUCCCAACUAUGGCAGUGGCUAUGGCCUAACAGCUGGAGGCAGGAACAGGGCAGUGACAAGAAUCAGCAACUGCAUAGGGGCCUCAUCAAUUUCCAGUCCUCCAUCCAGAAGAGGACAGGACAUGCUCAAGCUGCCCCAAAGAGAAAGGACAAAGGAGAGGAAUUCUGAGAUGCAAGUCCCUAUGGAAGAGGGGACAGAGUUAAAUUCCAGCAGUCCAACAGACUAUGGCUAGAGCCAUAGUCUUCUCUUACCUGUAUCUU